rnacentral:rRNA from 1 species
GACGAACGUUGGCGGCGUGCUUAAUACAUGCAAGUCAACUGAAGCAGUGGUAGCAAUAUCGCUGUGGAGGUGGCGCACGGGUGAGUAACACGUAGGUAAUCUGCCUUCAGGUCUGGCAUAACUCCGGGAACCCGGGGCUAAUAGCAGAUGAUGCAGCGGCUCGACAUCGAGACAGUUGUUAAAGCUAUGGCGCCUGAAGAUGAGCCUGCGUCUGAUUAGCUAGUUGGCGGGGUAACGGCCCACCAAGGCAACGAUCAGUAGCUGGUCUGAGAGGAUGAUCAGCCACACUGGAACUGAGACACGGUCCAGACUCCUACGGGAGGCAGCAGUAAGGAAUAUUGCUCAAUGGGAGGAAUCCUGAGGCAGCAACGCCGCGUGAGGGACGAAGGGCUUUUGCUUGUAAACCUCUGUAGUGAGAGAAAAAAAUCCCAAUCUUUGGGACAUGAUGGUAUCUCAAAAGUAAGCCCCGGCUAACUACGUG